rnacentral:rRNA from 1 species
GACAGAGGGGGCAAGCGUUGCUCGGAAUCACUGGGCGUAAAGGGCGCGUAGGCGGGACGCCAAGUCGGUCGUGAAAUCUCCGGGCUCAACCCGGAGGAGUCGGCCGAAACUGGUGUUCUUGAGGGAGGCAGAGGAGUCUGGAAUUCCCGGUGUAGCGGUGAAAUGUGUAGAGAUCGGGAGGAACGCCGGUGGCGAAGGCGGGACUCUGGGCCUACCCUGACGCUGAGGCGCGAAGGCGUGGGGAGCAAACGGG